rnacentral:rRNA from 1 species
AGUGAACGCUGGCGGCGUGCCUAAUACAUGCAAGUCGAACGAAUUGGCGCACGGGUGAGUAAUAUAUAGUUCAUCUGUCCUACACAGAGCUACAACAGUUGGGCACGACUGCUAAUACCUCAUAGUGUAGGAUGAGACUAUGUCGUAUCAGCUCGUUGGUAAGGUAAUGGCGUACCAGGGCUAUGACGCGUAACCGGGCUGCGAGGAUGAUCAGUCACAUUGGAGCUGAGACACGGUGGAAACAGCUACGGGAGGUAGCAGUAAGGAAGAUGGCGCAAUGGGGGACGCCCUGACGAAGAAACGCCGCGUGGGGGAUGAAACUUUUUGGAGUAUAGAACCAGUUUAUCAGGAAAGCGGUACCUGAUGAAGAAGCACCGGCUAACUCCGUGCCAGCAGCCGCGGUAAUAC